CGUGCCAGCAGCCGCGGUAAUACGUAGGUGGCAAGCGUUAUCCGGAAUUACUGGGCGUAAAGAGUGAGCAGGCGGUUAGAUAAGUCUAUGGUUAAAUGCAACAGCUCAACUGUUGUUCGCUAUAGAAACUAUUUAACUAGAGUGCGGGAGAGGUAAGUGGAACUCCAUAUGUAGCGGUGGAAUGCUUAGAUAUAUGGAAGAACACCAGAGGCGAAGGCGGCUUACCAGUCCGUAACUGACGCUCAGUCACGAAAGCGUGGGGAGCAAAUAGGAUUAGAUAUCCUAGUAGUCCACGCCGUAAACGAUGAGAACCUGAUGCAGGAGAUAUUCUGUGUCGAAGCUAACGCGUUAAGUUCUCCGCCUGGGUACUACGUUCGCAAGAAUAAAACUUAAAGGAAUUGACGGGCGCCCGCACAAGCAGUGGAGCAUGGGGUUUAAUUCGUCGAUACACGAAAAACCUUACCAGGGCUUGACAUCCCGCUAAAAGCCUUAGAAAUAAGGAAAUAGUUAUAGCGGUGACAGGUGGUGCAUGGUUGUCGUCAGCUCGUGCCGUGAGGUGUUAGGUUAAGUCCUCAAACGAGCGCAACCCUUGUCUUUAGUUGCCAUUAUUAAUUUAGGAACUCUAGAGAGACUGCCGGCGCAAGCCGGAGGAAGGCGGGGAUGACGUCAAAUCAUCAUGCCCUUUAUGCCCUGGGCCACACCCGUGCUACAAUGGUCGGUACAAAGAGAAGCAACACUGUGAGGUGAAGCAAAUCCCAUAAAGCCGAUCUCAAUUCGGAUUGAAGUCUGCAACUCGACUUCAUGAAGCUGGAAUUGCUAGUAAUCGCAGAUCAGCAACGCUGCGGUGAAUACGUUCUCGGGCGUUGUACACACUGCCCGUCACACCAUGAGAGCCGGUAAUACUCGAAGUCGUUAGCCUAACCGUAAGGAGGGCGGCGCCUAAGGUAGGACUGGUGAUUGGGGUUAAGUCGUAACAAGGUAUCCCUACGAGAACGUGGGGAUG
rnacentral:rRNA from 1 species